GGAAGGACUGUGGGAAUCACAUGACAUCAAACAGAAUUUCAGCAAAGGACCAACAACUCCAAUAAUACAUUUUUAUGCAUUUCAAAAACAGACACAUGCAUUUCAAGAAGGGAGAUGUGAAGAAGGGAGCACAUCGCCGUCUGUUCCGCUGGAGGUGCAGCAGCCCUGGGAAUUAGCCCCUGUCGCUGGGGAUUCCUCGUCUGCCCAGUGCUGGACCACGACCACGGGAUCCCUUCUGCCUGUCAAGGGAGCAUUUGACAACCUGCUUAUGUCACCGAGAACACAUAUGCCGGCCAACAGUGCCCCGUCCCCAGGAUAUACUACUUCCCCAAACUUCUUUUCUGCUUGGUCAAUCUGUUACAUUCUCAAGAGAAGAUAACUGCAGACCUGACCUGACCUGAUUCGGGCCUCCUUGGGAAGAAUCUGGCCUCGAAGGAACUUCCCGGCUCAAAUGGCCGGUUACAGACAUUCUUCCCCGAGUAAAGUCAUUCCUUUGGGUUAAAGUAGUACUUUCUUAGCAUUCUGCUUCUGUGUUGCAAAUUUCAGAGGAGAAGCGGCGGUGGGGUGGGGUAGACUCAGGAGGUCACCUUUGUGAGAAUGUCUUCUUCACAAGAUUAUCUGCAUCAGACAUGGACCAGGGGAGCUCGGAAAGCCCUGUAACCUCGGGUAGGGUGAGAAGGAAGCGCUGACAUUCAGUACCAGGGAAAGUGUGCGAGGACAAACUUCUCCAUCCGUUACUGGGCUUCAGGCCGCAGGGUGUCUUUCAGACGAGAAGAUUCACGUUCCCCCCGCCACCGCGCUCCAGUCUUCCCCAAGCCCUGCCGCGGCGCCGCUCUCCUGUUCCACCCCAGCUCUCCACGAGGUUCCCAGGAAAGCGCCGACCUCUUUCCCGCUUCUCCUCCCGCGCAGCCCGGCGUUCGGCUCGGCGCUUCCUCCAGUCCUCCAAAGGCGAGUGGAACAAGACUCCACCGUGGAUAGAAUACGACGCUUAAGAACUCCGCCUCAACUGCCCCCCUCUAGGUUUUCCCCGCCGUGCCCAAGGCUUUUGGUCACCUCUGCACAAAUUUAGUAAGACUGAGAGCUCAGAACCGGGAAAGCCAACCGCGGAUCCGUCUCGUUCCCCUGCCCGCCAGUGAAAAGCAGUCCGCCUCCGGCGCGGGUGCUCUGCAUCCUGUAGUCGGCUCUUGGCCGACACACACCUGCCCCG